CCUACGGGGGGCAGCAGUUAAGGAUUUUCUGCAAUGCGCGCAAGCGUGACAGAGCGAGCCAGAGUGUUUUUCCUUUUUGGAAAAACUUUUGUGAGCUGCAAAAAGGCUUACGAAUAAGGACUGGGCAAGACUGGUGCCAGCCGCCGCGGUAAUCCCAGCAGUCCAAGUCGCAACCACAAUUAUUGGGUCUAAAACAUUCGUAGCUUGCUGUGUAAGUCUCUUGUGAAAUCUGGCCUCUUAAGGGUCAGGCGUGCAAGAGAUACUGCAUGGCUUGAGACCGGUGGACGUAAGGAGUACAUUCAAGGUAGUGGUUAAAUACGUUGAUCUUGAAUGGACUAACAACAGCGAAGGCACCUUACGAUGACGGAUCUGACAGUGAGGAAUGAAGGCUAGGGGCGCAAAAUGGAUUAGAUACCCGGGUAGUC
rnacentral:rRNA from 1 species